AGCACAGCCACGGGCCCAGUUCGGGCUCUCGACUUUAACCCCUUCCAGUCGCACCUCCUGGCCUCCGGGGCCAACGAUUCGGAAGUUUACAUCUGGGACUUGAAUAACUUCAGCGUGCCGAUGACGCCGGGGGCUAAAUCUCAGCCCCAGGAGGACGUGAGCGCGGUGUCCUGGAACCGCCAGGUGCAGCACAUCCUGUCCUCCGCGCACCCCAGCGGGAAGGCCGUGGUGUGGGACCUCCGUAAGAACGAGCCCAUCAUCAAAGUCAGCGACCACAGCGGCAGAGUGAGUGGGGCCGGGCCGCGG